GUUUGAUCAUGGCUCAGAUUGAACGCUGGCGGCAGGCUUAACACAUGCAAGUCGAGCGGGGGAAGGUAGCUUGCUACUGGACCUAGCGGCGGACGGGUGAGUAAUGCUUAGGAAUCUGCCUAUUAGUGGGGGACAACAUCUCGAAAGGGAUGCUAAUACCGCAUACGUCCUACGGGAGAAAGCAGGGGAUCUUCGGACCUUGCGCUAAUAGAUGAGCCUAAGUCGGAUUAGCUAGUUGGUGGGGUAAAGGCCUACCAAGGCGACGAUCUGUAGCGGGUCUGAGAGGAUGAUCCGCCACACUGGGACUGAGACACGGCCCAGACUCCUACGGGAGGCAGCAGUGGGGAAUAUUGGACAAUGGGGGGAACCCUGAUCCAGCCAUGCCGCGUGUGUGAAGAAGGCCUUAUGGUUGUAAAGCACUUUAAGCGAGGAGGAGGCUACUUUAGUUAAUACCUAGAGAUAGUGGACGUUACUCGCAGAAUAAGCACCGGCUAACUCUGUGCCAGCAGCCGCGGUAAUACAGAGGGUGCGAGCGUUAAUCGGAUUUACUGGGCGUAAAGCGUGCGUAGGCGGCUUAUUAAGUCGGAUGUGAAAUCCCCGAGCUUAACUUGGGAAUUGCAUUCGAUACUGGUGAGCUAGAGUAUGGGAGAGGAUGGUAGAAUUCCAGGUGUAGCGGUGAAAUGCGUAGAGAUCUGGAGGAAUACCGAUGGCGAAGGCAGCCAUCUGGCCUAAUACUGACGCUGAGGUACGAAAGCAUGGGGAGCAAACAGGAUUAGAUACCCUGGUAGUCCAUGCCGUAAACGAUGUCUACUAGCCGUUGGGGCCUUUGAGGCUUUAGUGGCGCAGCUAACGCGAUAAGUAGACCGCCUGGGGAGUACGGUCGCAAGACUAAAACUCAAAUGAAUUGACGGGGGCCCGCACAAGCGGUGGAGCAUGUGGUUUAAUUCGAUGCAACGCGAAGAACCUUACCUGGCCUUGACAUACUAGA
rnacentral:rRNA from 1 species